rnacentral:tRNA from 1 species
GUCUGGGUAGUUUAAUUGAAAAUAUUGAUUUGUGGUAUCAGUGAUAUAGGAUCUAUCUUAGGCU